rnacentral:lncRNA from 1 species
GAGAAUUUCCAGGAUCACGAGUCUUGCUUUCUGCAACCCCAAAUGAUUAAUAAAAACAAAGAUGCUGGCUUACCCAAGACUGACCUCAAAGGAGACCUCAUGGAGUGAAGUGGUCAAGGUGCCUGUGGUCCACAGCAUGCAGUAGGUCUCUGAGGAAAUCUGGAGGGACUCUGGAAGCUGAAGAUUCAGAAUGUCCCAACUUAUACCUGCUACAGCCUUUGCUGCUCGACUGAUGGGUGCCAGGAGGAUGUGGACUGUUGUCUGCCUCCCCGGCUCCUCUCGUGAACCUGUUGAUCUCUGGCAGCAUUUAACAGCCUUGGUCCACA